rnacentral:ncRNA from 2 species
GUCAGAGUAGGGAUAAAGCGUUAAGUGUUACAGGAUGGAAUGUUGCCUGUAAACGAAGAUUGGAAGAUCGCGAUUUUAUCCUGCAUUCGCUAC